AUAAAUUGGCAAAAACUCUAAUGUUAGAUAACACUGGGGAACAAUUUGAAAAAAAAAAUUCUGUUGAGUUAGAUUUUUAUGCUGAUUAAAACUAAAAUUGGCAUGCUGAUUCCAAAAUUGCAGUCAGUUUUUUUCUAGCACGUCAAGUUUUUCCUCCACAGCUUACCCUCCAAAUAAGCAAAAUUCCACUGAUUAGCUGUAGUAAGACUUGCCAGCUGAUUACGAUUGGACUCAUCUACAGCUUCGUGGCAACUUGUUUGCGCAGUCACAAUUGAGACAGUGCGGUGAGAGGUGUGUGCAGCUAACAAUAGGUCA